UACGGGGGGGGCAAGCGUUGUUCGGAAUUACUGGGCGGAAAGGGCUCGUAGGCGGCCAACUAAGUCAGACGUGAAAUCCCUCGGCUUAACCGGGGAACUGCGUCUGAUACUGGAUGGCUUGAGUUCGGGAGAGGGAUGCGGAAUUCCAGGUGUAGCGGUGAAAUGCGUAGAUAUCUGGAGGAACACCGGUGGCGAAGGCGGCUUCCUGGACACUUACUGACGCUGAGACGCGAAAGCGUGGGGAGCAAACAGG
rnacentral:rRNA from 1 species